rnacentral:rRNA from 1 species
UACAGAGGGGGCAAGCGUUAUUCGGAAUUAUUGGGCGUAAAGGGCGCGUAGGCGGCCUGGCAAGUGGAGGGUGAAAUCCCUCGGCUUAACCGAGGAACUGCCCUCCAAACUGCUUGGCUUGAGUCCGGGAGAGGUGAGUGGAAUUCCCAGUGUAGCGGUGAAAUGCGUAGAUAUUGGGAGGAACACCAGUGGCGAAGGCGGCUCACUGGACCGGAACUGACGCUGAGGCGCGAAAGCGUGGGGAGCAAACGGG